rfam:Geobacter uraniireducens Rf4, complete genome.
GGUAUACUAUAAUCAAAGAUAAGAGUUGCGAGGAUCGAAAGAUCCUCAUUAUGCCCUAGCUGACUUGCCCUCCUAGUCACUAGGGUGUUUUU